AUUGAACGCUGGCGGCAGGCCUAACACAUGCAAGUCGAGCGAGCGGCGGACGGGUGAGGAAUGUAUGGGGAUCUGCCCGUUAGAGGGGGAUAACUGCUGGAAACGGUAGCUCAUACCGCAUACUAUCGGAUGAACGCAUGUGGGAUUAGCUCGUGGGUGAGGUAAUGGCUCACCUAGGCGACGAUCCCUCGCUGGUCUGAGAGGAUGAUCAGCCACACUGGGACUGAGACACGGCCCAGACUCCUACGGGAGGCAGCAGUGGGGAAUAUUGGACAAUGGGGGAAACCCUGAUCCAGCCAUGCCGCGUGUAUGAUGAAGGCCUUCGGGUUGUAAAGUACUUUUGGCAGAGAAGCGGUAUCUGCAGAAUAAGCACCGGCUAACUACGUGCCAGCAGCCGCGGUAAUAC
rnacentral:rRNA from 1 species